rnacentral:rRNA from 1 species
CUAACGCUGGCGGCAGGCUUAACACACAUGCAAGUCGAACGGGACGUAGCAAUACGUCAGUGGCUGCGACGGGUGAGUAACGCGUGGAUAUCUGCCUUCUGGUUCGGCAUAACCUUGGGAAAACUAGGGCUAAUACCGGAUGGAUCCUACGGGAUAAAGAUUUAUCGCCAGAAGAUGAGUCCGCGUCCGAUUAGCUAGUUGGUGGGGUAACGGCCUACCAAGGCGACGAUCAGGUAGCUGGUCUGAGAGGACGAUCAGCCACACUGGGACUGAGACACGGCCCAGACUCCUACGGGAGGCAGCAGUGGGGAAUAUUGGACAAUGGGGGCAACCCUGAUCCAGCCAUAGCCGCGUGAGUGAUGAAGGCCUUCGGGUUGUAAAGCUCCUUUUGGCGGGGACGGAUGAUGACGGUACCCGCAGAAUAAGUCACCCGG